AUACGGAGGGUGCAAGCGUUACUCGGAAUCACUGGGCGUAAGGCGCGCGCAGGCGGGCUGAUAAGUUGGAUGUGAAAGCCUACGGCUCAACCGUAGAACUGCAUCCAAAACUAUUAGACUAGAGUGUGGGAGAGGAAGAUGGAAUUAGUUGUGUAGGGGUAAAAUCCGUAGAGAUAACUAGGAAUACCAAAAGCGAAGGCAAUCUUCUGGAACACUACUGACGCUGAGGCGCGAAAGCGUGGGGAGCAAACAGGAUUAGAAACCCCAGUAGUCC
rnacentral:rRNA from 1 species